rnacentral:lncRNA from 1 species
CUUCUUUCCGCUCCAACGCACGGAGGGUGAGGUCGGUACGCGGUGGUGGCGUCACGGCGCCAGCUCCUCCCGACGCCGAGAUUGGGUAACUCAAGGCGUCCCUGGAGUACACUGAGGAUAAGUGUUUGAGAAAUGCUGUCUGAAGGAAUGAAGUCAGUCUAUGACAACGUCUCUCUGCCGUGAAUCAUUCCUGCAGAUGAAAAAGUGUGACUUGGCAGCUGCCAAUCUAAAAAGGGCCCUCAGGAUCGCCCACAAUGCCCAGCUUAGCUUCUUGACAAACACCUUAAUGGCGCAGCAUUGCCUGUUGGCUGCCAUCGGCUCUUGAGUGGGUGGAGCCGGCGCACGUGCAGGAGCCACCAGUGGUGCAGGAGCAGUUGGGGUCCAUUUCAAGCCGCGGUAAGGCUGGAGAUCUCAAGCGAUAAUGGAGAGACAGCAAGGCGCACGUGGACGGCGUGUUCACCAAUUACCAAACUUUUUGACCUGAGCAACUAGAAGAAUGGAGUUGCCAUUAUUUGACACAAAGAAGACUGCAGGAGGGACAGGUUUGAGUAGAAAUAUGAAGAGCUCAC